rnacentral:rRNA from 1 species
UACGGAGGAUUCAAGCGUUAUCCGGAAUCAUUGGGUUUAAAGGGUCCGUAGGCGGUUUUAUAAGUCAGUGGUGAAAUCCGGUAGCUCAACUAUCGAACGGCCAUUGAUACUGUAGAACUUGAAUUAUUGUGAAGUAACUAGAAUAUGUAGUGUAGCGGUGAAAUGCUUAGAUAUUACAUGGAAUACCAAUUGCGAAGGCAGGUUACUAACAAUAUAUUGACGCUGAUGGACGAAAGCGUGGGGAGCGAACAGG